CUGACUUCCUUGAUAACUGGGACUAAAAUAAGAUCUCAAGACACAAGGCUAGGGCUAGGAAGGAACUAGGGAUUUUUUUCUCUCCUCCUGAGAGCAAAGGACCUCUUCCAUUCAGGCCCAUCAGGGGCACUGAGCACCUCCCAGCUGGCCCUGGCAGGGCAGCCCAGGGUGUCAGCUUUGCUCUUGCUCAGCCCCCUCUGUGCUGAGGUCCACAGGGCAUACCUCUCCUCUACCUGCAGCUCCGGGAAGUAGCUCUGAUUCGGAAAGGGAAGGAGAAAGGCCUGAAGCCUCCCUCUGCCUCAUCUGUCCCUAAGAAGUGGCUAAGUAGGCACAGUGGGCAAAGGAGGCUGAGUGACUGCUCAGAGCCGGCAGGGGGGAGCACAGGGCUUCAUCUGUGUGACUGCAGUUCUUCCUGCUGCUGCCCAUGGACACCAGAACUUCAUCGGUGGACCACAGCACGAAGAAACUAAAGUUGAAAUCCAGAGGUGGUGCCACACAUCUGUAUUCUCAGUAUUGAGAGAAGCUUAGGUAAGAAGAGGUGGUUCAACCCGGUCCUUGGUCUCAUAGAUGGACAGACCGGCCAUGUUCCAGAAAGGAAGUAAGUACUCUCAGGACAACCCAAGGAGUGGGCUGACCUUGCUCUGACCAGAACCCAACCCUCCCAAUGGACCACCAGGCAGAGAGCUACUGUGAUAUUUCCUAAGCUAAUAUGUCUCAUCGAUCCCUGAUCAGGUCAGUGAGAAAACAAAAUGCCUACAGUCCUCCAAGUGUCUCAACAUACAUUUUAGCUCUAUGUUCAUCCAGAAAGCAGAUCCCCUGCCUCCUUGGAGCCCUCGGGGAGUCUAGCAGAACUCUACAGACAGGUCCAUUAAGGGUCCUGGGGCUCUCCCCCCACAGUCCCAUGUCACUGUCUUGGUAUUCACCAUAAUGCAUCUAGUUUCCUCCAAGGGCGGGCAGCCUGUACCUUGUGGCUCUGUUCUGAAUCAUGCAAAGGACCAGGUGAUAACUUUCCAUUGAAUCUCAUGAUCUUGGCUGCUAAGCAGACCUGAUUUUUUUCUGAGUACCCACUUUCAGUUCUGGUUUUGGUGCCAACUUGUUAUCAUGGUUCUAGUUUGCGUCAAUUUAAUCUUUUAAUCAUGUGCAUAAAAUGUCUCCAGUAAAAAAGAAAAGUAGUAGUGGAUGGCCACUGGAGAAUGGAACUGGAUGGCCAUGGGACUGUCUGGGAGGGAAGUUGAAUGUAGACCAUGUAAGCAUAAACCUAUCAAGACAUGCUUUUGAAAGAAUUAAUAAUGAAAGUGAUGGUAACAUUCACAGAGAAACCCUGCUGGUGAGUGCUAUAAUUCGAUAAAAAAUGUCCCCUGAAAGCUCAUGUGUUGAGGCUUGGUCCUCAGUGCAGCUCUGUUCAGAGGGGAGACUUUUGGGAAGUGAUUGUAUCACAAAGCUGUAACUUCAUCAGUGGGCCAAUUCAUUGCUGUGUUCAUAGAUCAAUGGCUUAAUGAAACCUAAUUAGAUAAACUGAGUCACUGAAAGCUGGGCGUGGUGGCAUACGCCUGUAGUCCCGGCACUAG